rnacentral:rRNA from 1 species
UACGGGGGGAGCAAGCGUUGUUCGGAAUCACUGGGCGUAAAGGGCGUCUAGGCGGUUUGGUAAGUGGGCUGUGAAAUUCCCGGGCUCACCCCGGGACCUGCAUCCGAAACUGCUGAGCUUGAGUACAGGAGAGGGUGGGGGAAUUCCAGGUGUAGCGGUGAAAUGCGUAGAUAUCUGGAGGAACACCGGUGGCGAAGGCGCCCACCUGGCCUGCUACUGACGCUGAAGCUCGAAAGCGAGGGGAGCAAACGGG